rnacentral:tRNA from 1 species
GGUUGUGGCUCCAGUGGUAGCAAGCUCGCCUAACAUGCAUGAGGCACUGGGUUCGAUCCUCAGCACCA